rnacentral:lncRNA from 1 species
CGCGAGGGGGGAUGAAGGACGCCACCGAGGAAGCAGACCCCACCGGGCUCCCGAGGCUGCCAGGCCCCCCGCUCAGGGCGCUGCCUGCAGAACCACGCCCCCCUGUCCCUGUGCUAAGAGGGUGACGCGAGUGCCCGAAGCCCUGGCCUGGUUACCAUUCGCGACUCCCUCGUCCUGGGUUCUCCCAUUGCCAGGAAUGUUUUACUAGUAACCAUGGUAUAGUUGAGACGAUCCACUCUUGUCCUACGCAUUUCGGCACAAUACAGGCGUCUAGGAGGCUUACCUGGCAUUGCCUGAGAGAAUCUUCCAUCCAUUUAAGUACCCAGUAACAGAGGGAGCAAAGCAAAUCUUAUCCUCAAAGAACUGCAGCUGCUUGUUAGAUCUACCUGGUGGUUCCAUAGAGAAACUGCUCAGAGAACCUGCCUUUACCUCGCCUAAAACAGAACUAUCCCGGAGCUCAGCAAAGGAGUCCAUUCAUCCUCUAUAACUGCUAUACAAUAUCUCUGUUAAAAUGCUGAGAAGAUUUAUCCUAAAAGAAGGCACCAAAGCAAUGGGGUUCAUCAACUCAGGAUCCAGUAGUGUAAUACAGAAGCCUGUUACGAGAUAUAAGAUGGUUGGUAUGAUGCUUUUACAAUAUUUACUACUCUGCACCAUCUUAGAGAUGACCAUUGUAAUCAUAAUCAUCCAGUGGGUUGUAAGAGCAUUUCAUCAUGAAAAACACACUGAAGAAAG